rnacentral:rRNA from 1 species
AGCGAACGCUGGCGGCAGGCCUAACACAUGCAAGUCGAACGAAGUCUUCGGACUUAGUGGCGGACGGGUGAGUAACACGUGGGAACGUGCCUUUAGGUUCGGAAUAACUCAGGGAAACUUGUGCUAAUACCGAAUGUGCCCUUCGGGGGAAAGAUUUAUCGCCUUUAGAGCGGCCCGCGUCUGAUUAGCUAGUUGGUGAGGUAAAGGCUCACCAAGGCUACGAUCAGUAGCUGGUCUGAGAGGAUGACCAGCCACAUUGGGACUGAGACACGGCCCAAACUCCUACGGGAGGCAGCAGUGGGGAAUCAUGCGCAAUGGGCGAAAGCCUGACGCAGCCAUGCCGCGUGGAUGAUGAAGGUCUUAGGAUUGUAAAAUCCUUUCACCGGUGAAGAUAAUGACUGUAGCCGGAGAAGAAGCCCCGGCUAACUUCGUGCCAGCCGCCGCGGUAAUAC